rnacentral:rRNA from 1 species
GACGAAGGGGGCUAGCGUUGCUCGGAAUUACUGGGCGUAAAGCGCGUGUAGGCGGCUGUUCAAGUUGGGCGUGAAAGCCUUGGGCUUAACCCAAGAAAUGCGCUCAAUACUGGAUAGCUAGAGGACCGGAGAGGAUAGUGGAAUUCCCAGUGUAGUGGCGAAAUACGUAGAGAUUGGGAAGAACACCAGUGGCGAAGGCGGCUAUCUGGACGGUUUCUGACGCUAAGACGCGAAAGCGUGGGGAGCAAACAGG